ensembl:lncRNA novel transcript, antisense to PLXNC1
GGGGAAGCCGCUCCGAGUCGCCCCUGAGCCUAGAUGGGUCGUGAGCAUCGUCAUUCCAGACCAGGCUGGGCAGAUUCUGCCCGGAGACUGAGAUUGUACAUCAGGCCCACAGCUGCGCGGCGCAUUAGGAGACGGCGCCAUCAAUAACGAGGCUUCUGCGGAGCGAACAGAAUACAUGACAUACAUGAUGGGGAUUCAGCUGAAAAAUUUUCAGACAUCUCUAUUCUUUUAUCUUCUCGGAGGGGGGGCCCUUUUGCCUCUCUCUUGAGUCUUGGCGAACUCUGGAGAAAGUAAAAGCCAAACCUGCCUGCUCUCUCCCGUUCUCCUGAAGGCUGCACACCUGCCCCUCCCGCCCCGAGACUGGGGAGCUCCCGGGUCCAGUGAUUGCAUAGCACGGACGCCGCUGGAAACACCUUCGAGAAUUCAUUAGGAUUGCACAACAAGAUUUUAGUCGAGGAAGAGAUCAGUUCCCUCAGGUCACUGGAAUGGAUCGUUAAAGUAGGGCAACAAGUGUUCUGCCGCAUGACACUUUUUCAAAAAUGCGAGUUGGUGAGAAAGAAUUCAGGAGAUACCUUUGUAGCGAAUGGCACCAACCGCAGUGAGGGUCUGUGGCUGUUAAACACUCCGAACAGGAUUUAUGUUUAUUGCAGUUUGCAACACGAAUUCUCCUCACCUAAAAGGAAAGAGGACAAUGGUUCAGAUGGAAUUAUAAGCAACAGCAGGAAAACUACAACACCUUAUCUAAUGAAGGGCCAAAAAGAGCCUAUUUAUCAACUUGAACUCAACACCUCCAUACUGGCACUGGGCAGUGGGUCUCAAGAUCUAGGACAUGAAGUCAUUGUAUCACAAUCACCUGGGGAGCUUUUGACAGUGCGUAUUCCCAGGCCUCUGCCGCAGAGACUCUCGCUAAGUCUGGGGGCAGAGCCUAGGAAGUUGUAUUUUUUCAUUUAAAAGAUUUUUUUCUUAAAGACACAGGGUCUCACUACGUUGCCCAGGCUGGUUUUGAACUUCUGGGCUCAAAGCACUCCUCCCAAAAGUGCUGAGGUUGCAGGCGUGCACCACUGUGUCUGGCCAGGAAUCUGUAUUUUAAGAGCUCUCUCUCAGGAAUGAAGUGCUUCGUGCUGCAUCCUGCCUUCAACGACAGGAAACUGAGUUUGUUACACAAAUCUCUGGAAGAUAUGGAGCUAGGAAGAGCCGUUGCCGUCUGCAGCUACUGAACACAGUGUGAUAGCACACUUUAUCUGCCAGAGCUCAGUUCCCAACUGUACUAAGGUUUUUAAAGGCACAUUGAAGUUGCAGCCAGCAAACUUCAGUAAGCAACACAGCAACUCCUAAAAUCGCCCUAUUUGGGGAGGGGGAGGCUAAGACUUAUUAACUUCAUUAUAUUAUCGCCAACAGUGUUUAUGUCUUUCAAUUUAUGUCUUAUUAAAUAUUCAUUAUUUUUAAACCCACCAAGUUUCAUUAACAUCUAAACUAAAUGGAUUAUGGGACUAAAUUGAUUUCUGAAGCCUUUAAAGUGCCAUCUAUAUUUCUUUGUUGAGGUUGCGCUGCAAGGACAAGAUAAGCUAGCCAGGAUUUGUCCAAUGCCCUGAUCACUUUUCAAGGAAAAGAUGUCAUAACCUAAGAGAAGGCAAUGUUUUUGCAUAAAAUAUUCUAUAGUGAACUCGGUUUAAGAAGAUUUAGGGAAAGCUCAUUAGAGUUUCUUUUUCCCUUGUUGAAAGAUACUUUUCAUGCAAUAUGGGAAGAUGAGGAGCUGUCCUGUGAAAAUUGAAGUUAAGGAAAAAAAUUCUCUGUGGGUCUAAGGUUGGAACAAUAGAUCACUGUUUAGAUAAGGAAGCCUCAUGACUAUGAGCAGAAAAAGAAAAGUCGGAUGACCUUUAGGAUUAAAAAAAUAAGUAAAACCAUGCCACACAUCUUGCUUUAAAAUA